rnacentral:rRNA from 1 species
GAUAGCGGCAAAAGGGUGAGUAACACGUGGGCAAUCUGCCUUUAAGUCAAGCAUAGCUUCGUGAAAACGGAGGUAAUUCUUGACAGUAUUUUAACAUCGCAUGAUGUUUAAAUUAAAGAUGGGGACCGUAAGGCCUGUCGCUUAGAGAUGAGCUCGCGUCCUAUCAGCUUGUUGGUGGGGUAAUGGCCAACCAAGGCAUUUGACGGGUAGCUGGUCUGAGAGGAUGGUCAGCCACACUGGGACUGAGACACUGCCCAGACUCCUACGGGAGGCUGCAGUCGAGAAUAUUUAGCAAUGGGCGAAAGCCUGACUAUGCGACGCCGCGUGAGGGAUGAAGGUUUUCGGAUCGUAAACCUCUUUUGUUAGGAAAGAAUAUUCCGUAGUUAAUAGCUACGGAACUGACGGUACCUAACGAAUAAGCCACGGCCAACUCCGUGCCAGCAGCCGCGGUAAUACGGAGGUGGCAAGCGUUACUCGGAAUCAUUGGGUGUAAAGGGCAAGUAGGCGGUUUGAUGUGUGAGAGGUGAAAUCUCCCGACUCAAUCGGGAAACGGCCUUUCAAACUAUUAAACUUGAGAGUGGUAGAGGAAAGCGGAAUUCUCGGUGUAAGGGUGAAAUCUGUGGAUAUCGAGAAGAACAUCAACUGCGAAGGCAGCUUUCUGGGCCAUUUCUGACGCUGAAUUGCGAAAGCUAGGGGAGCAAACAGAAUUAGAUACUCUGGUAGUCCUAGCCGCAAACGAUGAGCACUAGGUGUCGGUCCCUUACGGGAUCGGUGCCGCAGCUAACGCAUUAAGUGCUCCACCUGAGGACUACGGUCGCAAGGCUAAAACUCAAAGGAAUUGACGGGGACCCGCACAAGCGGUGGAACAUGUGGUUCAAUUCGAAGCUACGCGAAAAACCUCACCAAGGCUCGACAUGUAAGAAGUAGUGAACCGAAAGGGGAACGACCUGUCAAAUCAGGAGCUUACACAGGUGCUGCGUGGCUGUCGUCAGCUCGUGUCGUGAGGUGUUGGGUUAAGUCCCGCAACGAGCGCAACCAUUAUCUUUAGUUGCAACCAUUUUAGCCUUCGGGCUUAGAGUGAGCACUUUAAAGAGACUGCCUGGGUUAACCAGGAGGAAGGCGGAGAUGACGUCAAGUCAGUACGGCCUUUAUGCCUUGGGCUACACACGUGUUACAAUGGCCGGUACAAAGGGUUGCCAACCCGCGAGGGGGAGCUAAUCUCAGAAAAUCGGCCCCAGUUCGGAUUGAAGUCUGAAAUUCGACUUCAUGAAGCCGGAAUCGCUAGUAAUGGUAGAUCAGCACGCUACCGUGAAUACGUUCCCGGGUCUUGUACACACCGCCCGUCAAGCGAUGGAAGUUGGUGGUACC